rnacentral:rRNA from 1 species
AGUGAACGCUGGCGGUAGGCCUAACACAUGCAAGUCGAACGGCAGCACAGGAGAGCUUGCUCUCUGGGUGGCGAGUGGCGGACGGGUGAGGAAUACAUCGGAAUCUACCUUUUCGUGGGGGAUAACGUAGGGAAACUUACGCUAAUACCGCAUACGACCUACGGGUGAAAGUGGGGGACCGCAAGGCCUCACGCGAUUAGAUGAGCCGAUGUCCGAUUAGCUAGUUGGCGGGGUAAUGGCCCACCAAGGCGACGAUCGGUAGCGGGUCUGAGGGGAUGACCACCCACACUGGAACUGAGACACGGUCCAGACUCCUACGGGAGGCAGCAGUGGGGAAUAUUGGACAAUGGGCGCAAGCCUGAUCCAGCCAUACCGCGUGGGUGAAGAAGGCCUUCGGGUUGUAAAGCCCUUUUGUUGGGAAAGAAAUCCUGUCGAUUAAUACUCGGUGGGGAUGACGGUACCCAAAGAAUAAGCACCGGCUAACUUCGUGCCAGCCGCCGCUGUAAUAC